CUCAUUAAUCAUCUGGUGAUGCAAUUAAAGGCAAAUUCAAUGGCAUGUGAUAACAAUAAGACAACAAGAUGUCAAAUAUCCUUUGCCUUUGCCAAAUUACUUUUCAAAAUGCUGUCAUUUUUUUCUAAUAAUCAUAUUCGCAUUAAGUUCAAGUCACUUAUGCUUGCCUACAGAGUGCUUGCUGGUUCUGCUCCCACCUACCUAAAUGCUCUUGUAAGGGCAAAUGUUACACCCAGGACGCUGCGCUCGUCUAGUAAGCGUCGUUUGGCACUGCCGUCUGUGCAAGCACGGCAAUCCAGACUAUUCUCAUUUGUAGUUCUACGUUGGUGGAACGAACUGCCUAGUACUACCAGAGCAGGGGUGUCCCUCUCUACCUUCAAGAAGCUUUUGAAGACCCAACUCUUCAGAGAGCACCUCCCUUCUUCAGAGAGCAUUCCUCCUAACUGGCACCUGACUAGCGCUUAACUUGCACUUCAGCAGUUACAUUCCUGCACUUCUUUUUCCUUUUUUCUAGGUCGUUGUUUUUCUAAUUCUCAUGUAAAGUAGUAUUUAUUGUUACACCAUGCUUUUUAUUGCUCUUAGCUUGACUGUUCUCUCCCUUGUACGUCGCUUUGGACAAAAGCGUCUGCUAAAUGACGAAAUGUAAAUGACUAAAUGUAGGAUGAAGUUCAAGUCUCUGUAGUAAAAUAUGAUGAUCUAUAGUGUCAAAAGCAGCACUGGGAGCAAGUCUAGAAGAACCAGUAUUGAAGUGCACCCAUGAUUAGAUGCUAUUAGUCGGUCAUUCAGAACUUUGACUAAGGCCAUUUCAGUGCUGUGAUGGACUCUAAAGCCAGAUUGGACGUCUUCUUCGAUAUUGUUUUUAUGUAGAAAAGAAGUAAGUUGCAUUGCUAUUACUUUUUCAAGGAUUUUUUUACAAGAAAGGGAGGUUGGAUUUAGGCCUUUAGUUAGCCAGAUUAUCAGGAUCAAGAUUACGCUUUUUGAGAGAUGGUUUGAUCACUGCUAUUUUGAAUGAUUGUGGAACGUAUCCUGAAAUAAGUGAAUUGUUCAUUACUUUAAAUAGUGUCUCAUUUAAUAAGGGUAGUGCGUGGUUAAGUAGUUUUGUAGGGAUAGGGUCUAGUAGGCACAUUGUUGAUUUAGAUGAGGAGAUCAGGGAAUUGAGGGAGGUCAAUGGGUGUGAAGGAUUCAAGGAGUGCACCAGGUUGUGGGGGUGUCACAGAGGUAGUCAUGGUGAUUCUAGGAGUGCACCAGGUUGUGGGGGUGUCACAGAGGUAGUCAUAGUGCAUCCUGGAGGGGCUGUAGGGUCAUGGAGGGGGAGAAGACAGUGAAUGUUUUCUCUUAUUGUUAAAACUUCAACAGUACCUUUAGCUGCUCCAUUCCUGGUUCCUGGUCA
ensembl:lncRNA